GGGACGUUAGCUCAGCCUGGGAGAGCACACGGCUGAAGACCGUGGUGUCAGGGAUUCAAAUUCCCUACGUCCCA
rnacentral:tRNA from 1 species